CUGAGCUACCGGGUCACGGCGGCGCCGCCCACACCCUACGGCGGUCCUUCGCCGUCGUGCGCCCUGCUCCGGCCCCCAGAGUCAGUCCCGACUCGAUUUCUAGUGCAUAUCCAUGAGCGAUCGACAGUGAACACGAUGGGAGGGUCAUUACCGGCGUUAGGAAGGUUGGUGAAGCUGCUCCCGCGCGCAGUGCUUCCGCGGCGACAACACCGCGACGGUGAGCAAUCGCCGCCGCCAGGGUCGACGAAAUCCGAGGUCACCGGCCGCCCUUCUCCCGUAGCGAGGCCCCGGUCCUAUCCCCGAAGCACGGCGAGGCACCCGAGUACUAAAUCGUGGACGCGGCGCCGAUGGCGAUGGUGCGGGUUGCGCUGCGGUGGUGGAUCCUCCCGAUGGCGGAGCAGAGCAAUACGGGGCGAGCGGGGGUUUGCGGAGGUCCCAGAGGGUCUUAUCCCCCACAACGCCGCGAGCUCGGACCCACAGUUCCGCUUUUCCCGCGGGGUGGCGAGCGACCCGGUCGUAACGGCAGCCGAAGCCUCCGCGCGAUUUCUGUUACGCGAAGGGGACGAUCCCGACAAGUGGGACCGAAGAACCAGUGACUCAAGCAGCGGGCGCGGGUGA
rnacentral:misc_RNA from 1 species